rnacentral:rRNA from 1 species
AUUGAACGCUGGCGGCAUGCCUUACACAUGCAAGUCGAACGGCAGCACGGGUGCUUGCACCUGGUGGCGAGUGGCGAACGGGUGAGUAAUACAUCGGAACGUACCUUAUCGUGGGGGAUAACGCAGCGAAAGCUGUGCUAAUACCGCAUACGCCCUGAGGGGGAAAGCGGGGGAUCGAAAGACCUCGCGCGAUUAGAGCGGCCGAUGCCUGAUUAGCUUGUUGGUGGGGUAAAAGCCCACCAAGGCGACGAUCAGUAGCUGGUCUGAGAGGACGAUCAGCCAAACGGGGACGGAGACACGGCCCAGACUCCUACGGGAGGCAGCAGUGGGGAAUUUUGGACAAUGGGGGCAACCCUGAUCCAGCAAUGCCGCGUGAGUGAAGAAGGCCUUCGGGUUGUAAAGCUCUUUUGUCAGGGAAGAAACACCGGCUCUAACACAGUCCGGGAAUGACGGUACCUGAAGAAUAAGCACCGGCUAACUACGUGCCAGCAGCCGCCGCUG